UAAGCCUGCGAAGGUGGCCUGUGAGGGUUGCUGGAGGUAUCAGAAGUGCGAAUGCUGACAUAAGUAACGAUAAAGCGGGUGAAAAGCCCGCUCGCCGGAAGACCAAGGGUUCCUGUCCAACGUUAAUCGGGGCAGGGUGAGUCGACCCCUAAGGCGAGGCCGAAAGGCGUAGUCGAUGGGAAACGGGUUAAUAUUCCCGUACUUGGUGUUACUGCGAAGGGGGGACGGAGAAGGCUAUGUUGGCCGGGCGACGGUUGUCCCGGUUUAAGCGUGUAGGUGUGUGUUCCAGGUAAAUCCGGUUCACUUUAACACUGAGGCGUGACGACGAGGCACUACGGUGCUGAAGCAACAAAUGCCCUGCUUCCAGGAAAAGCCUCUAAGCAUCAGGUAACAUCAAAUCGUACCCCAAACCGACACAGGUGGUCAGGUAGAGAAUACCAAGGCGCUUGAGAGAACUCGGGUGAAGGAACUAGGCAAAAUGGUGCCGUAACUUCGGGAGAAGGCACGCUGACACGUAGGUGAAGUGAUUUACUCACGGAGCUGAAGUCAGUCGAAGAUACCAGCUGGCUGCAACUGUUUAUUAAAAACACAGCACUGUGCAAACACGAAAGUGGACGUAUACGGUGUGACGCCUGCCCGGUGCCGGAAGGUUAAUUGAUGGGGUCAGCGCAAGCGAAGCUCCUGAUCGAAGCCCCGGUAAACGGCGGCCGUAACUAUAACGGUCCUAAGGUAGCGAAAUUCCUUGUCGGGUAAGUUCCGACCUGCACGAAUGGCGUAAUGAUGGCCAGGCUGUCUCCACCCGAGACUCAGUGAAAUUGAACUCGCUGUGAAGAUGCAGUGUACCCGCGGCAAGACGGAAAGACCCCGUGAACCUUUACUAUAGCUUGACACUGAACAUUGAGCCUUGAUGUGUAGGAUAGGUGGGAGGCUUUGAAGUGUGGACGCCAGUCUGCAUGGAGCCGACCUUGAAAUACCACCCUUUAAUGUUUGAUGUUCUAACGUGGACCCGUGAUCCGGGUUGCGGACAGUGUCUGGUGGGUAGUUUGACUGGGGCGGUCUCCUCCUAAAGAGUAACGGAGGAGCACGAAGGUUGGCUAAUCCUGGUCGGACAUCAGGAGGUUAGUGCAAUGGCAUAAGCCAGCUUGACUGCGAGCGUGACGGCGCGAGCAGGUGCGAAAGCAGGUCAUAGUGAUCCGGUGGUUCUGAAUGGAAGGGCCAUCGCUCAACGGAUAAAAGGUACUCCGGGGAUAACAGGCUGAUACCGCCCAAGAGUUCAUAUCGACGGCGGUGUUUGGCACCUCGAUGUCGGCUCAUCACAUCCUGGGGCUGAAGUAGGUCCCAAGGGUAUGGCUGUUCGCCAUUUAAAGUGGUACGCGAGCUGGGUUUAGAACGUCGUGAGACAGUUCGGUCCCUAUCUGCCGUGGGCGCUGGAGAACUGAGGGGGGCUGCUCCUAGUACGAGAGGACCGGAGUGGACGCAUCACUGGUGUUCGGGUUGUCAUGCCAAUGGCACUGCCCGGUAGCUAAAUGCGGAAGAGAUAAGUGCUGAAAGCAUCUAAGCACGAAACUUGCCCCGAGAUGAGUUCUCCCUGAGACUUUAGGUCUCCUGAAGGAACGUUGAAGACGACGACGUUGAUAGGCCGGGUGUGUAAGCGCAGCGAUGCGUUGAGCUAACCGGUACUAAUGAACCGUGAGGCUUAACCUUACAACGCCGAAG
rnacentral:rRNA from 1 species